rnacentral:rRNA from 1 species
AUAAUGGGUCAGCGACUUAUAUUCUGUAGCAAGGUUAACCGAAUAGGGGAGCCGAAGGGAAACCGAGUCUUAACUGGGCGUUAAGUUGCAGGGUAUAGACCCGAAACCCGGUGAUCUAGCCAUGGGCAGGUUGAAGGUUGGGUAACACUAACUGGAGGACCGAACCGACUAAUGUUGAAAAAUUAGCGGAUGACUUGUGGCUGGGGGUGAAAGGCCAAUCAAACCGGGAGAUAGCUGGUUCUCCCCGAAAGCUAUUUAGGUAGCGCCUCGUGAAUUCAUCUCCGGGGGUAGAGCACUGUUUCGGCAAGGGGGUCAUCCCGACUUACCAACCCGAUGCAAACUGCGAAUACCGGAGAAUGUUAUCACGGGAGACACACGGCGGGUGCUAACGUCCGUCGUGAAGAGGGAAACAACCCAGACCGCCAGCUAAGGUCCCAAAGUCAUGGUUAAGUGGGAAACGAUGUGGGAAGGCCCAGACAGCCAGGAUGUUGGCUUAGAAGCAGCCAUCAUUUAAAGAAAGCGUAAUAGCUCACUGGUCGAGUCGGCCUGCGCGGAAGAUGUAACGGGGCUAAACCAUGCACCGAAGCUGCGGCAGCGACGCUUAUGCGUUGUUGGGUAGGGGAGCGUUCUGUAAGCCUGCGAA